ACUUGUUCAUAUUGGGUAGGGGAGCGUUCUGUAAGCCGUUGAAGGUGCAUUGUAAAGUGUGCUGGAGGUAUCAGAAGUGCGAAUGCUGACAUGAGUAACGAUAAAGGGAGUGAAAAACUCCCUCGCCGGAAGAUCAAGGGUUCCUGUCCAACGUUAAUCGGGGCAGGGUAAGUCGACCCCUAAGGCGAGGCCGAAAGGCGUAGUCGAUGGGAAACGGGUUAAUAUUCCCGUACUUCUUAUAAUUGCGAUGGAGGGACGGAGAAGGCUAGGUGAGCCUGGCGACGGUUGUCCAGGUCCAAGUAUGUAGGCUGAUGAAUUAGGCAAAUCCGGUUCAUCUUAAGGCUGAGAUACGAUGUCGAGCUACUACGGUAGUGAAGUCAUUGAUGCCAUGCUUCCGGGAAAAGCUUCUAAGCUUCAGAUUAUAAGAAAUCGUACCCCAAACCGACACAGGUGAUCAGGUAGAGAAUACCAAGGCGCUUGAGAGAACUCGGGUGAAGGAACUAGGCAAAAUGGUACCGUAACUUCGGGAGAAGGUACGCUCCUAGCGGUGAUGAGACUUGCUCUCUAAGCUGCCGGGAGUCGCAGAUACCAGGUGGCUGCAACUGUUUAUUAAAAACACAGCACUGUGCAAAAUCGAAAGAUGACGUAUACGGUGUGACGCCUGCCCGGUGCCGGAAGGUUAAUUGAUGGGGUUAGACUUCGGUCGAAGCUCUUGAUCGAAGCCCCGGUAAACGGCGGCCGUAACUAUAACGGUCCUAAGGUAGCGAAAUUCCUUGUCGGGUAAGUUCCGACCUGCACGAAUGGCGUAAUGAUGGCCACGCUGUCUCCACCCGAGACUCAGUGAAAUUGAAAUCGCAGUGAAGAUGCUGUGUACCCGCGGCUAGACGGAAAGACCCCGUGAACCUUUACUAUAGCUUGGCACUGAACAUUGACCCUACAUGUGUAGGAUAGGUGGGAGACGUUGAAGCAACCGCGCCAGUGGUUGUGGAGUCAAUCUUGAAAUACCACCCUUGUAUGCUUGAUGUUCUAACGUCGACCCCUUAUCGGGGUUACGGACAGUGCCUGGUGGGUAGUUUGACUGGGGCGGUCUCCUCCCAAAGAGUAACGGAGGAGCACGAAGGUGGGCUAAUCACGGUCGGACAUCGUGAGGUUAGUGCAAUGGCAUAAGCCCGCUUGACUGCGAGAAUGACAAUUCGAGCAGGUGCGAAAGCAGGUCAUAGUGAUCCGGUGGUUCUGAAUGGAAGGGCCAUCGCUCAACGGAUAAAAGGUACUCCGGGGAUAACAGGCUGAUACCGCCCAAGAGUUCAUAUCGACGGCGGUGUUUGGCACCUCGAUGUCGGCUCAUCACAUCCUGGGGCUGAAGUCGGUCCCAAGGGUAUGGCUGUUCGCCAUUUAAAGUGGUACGCGAGCUGGGUUUAGAACGUCGUGAGACAGUUCGGUCCCUAUCUGCCGUGGGCGUUGGAUGAUUGAGAGGGGCUGCUCCUAGUACGAGAGGACCGGAGUGGACGAACCGCUGGUGUUCGGGUUGUAUCGCCAGAUGCAUUGCCCGGUAGCUAAGUUCGGAAUCGAUAACCGCUGAAAGCAUCUAAGCGGGAAGCGAGCCUCAAGAUGAGUCAUCCCUAGACCUUUAAGGUCUCUAAAGGGUUGU
rnacentral:rRNA from 1 species